AAUUCCACACUGCAAACCCACACGAGAAUUUUUUUUAAACAUCAGAAAAAAAGUCCGUCAGAACAAUAACAUACCCCGUUCCAGGAAAAAAAAAUACUCAAAUAAAAAAUUGACUCCCCAUGGACUGUGAAAAUAGUGGGGUGUUUUGCAUUUGCCUGGGACGCCCACUUCACUUCCCAAGAACGUAUGGCCAACACGGAGUCGGCAUUCGAGCUGCAGCGUGGACUUGAGAGAAGAAGAGAGCGCAGGUGUGUUGUGAGGAAAAUGAAGUUGAGUUGUCCCGUUGGACUGGAGAAAAGGUAAGGGGAAAGCAAAGCAAAAAAAAAAAAAAAAAAAAAAAAAUUUAAAAA